GAUGAACGCUGGCGGCGUGCUUAACACAUGCAAGUCGAACGUGAGAAUAGCAAUAUUUGAAAGUGGCAAACGGGUGAGUAACACGUGGGAACCUGCCUUGGAGUGGGGGAUAACGGCUGGAAACGGUCGCUAAUACCGCAUGGUUCUACCUUAAUGGGAAUGAGGUAGAUAAAGAUUAAUUGCUCUAAGAGGGGCCUGCGGCCGAUUAGCUAGUUGGUGAGGUAAAGGCUCACCAAGGCGAUUAUCGGUAGCUGGUCUGAGAGGACGAUCAGCCACACGGGAACUGAGACACGGUCCCGACUCCUACGGGGGGCAGCAGUGAGGAAUAUUGGGCAAUGGGCGAAAGCCUGACCCAGCAACGCCGCGUGGAGGAUGAAGGCUCUAGGGUUGUAAACUCCUUUUGUGGGGGAAAAGAGAGGAUGGUACCCCAAGAAUAAGUCACGGCUAACUACGUG
rnacentral:rRNA from 1 species